CAGAUACUUGAAAAUGUCAUUGCGAAAACUGUUUCUAUCCAGGCUUAAGGACUCUCCACGGCUGGUAUCGAUCAAGCUGACUUCCUGUCUCAAUAUUGAGCCCCAGUCUCCAGAUCUCUGCUGAAUGAAACAAGGAAAUCAGUGCUGCGACCAUCUGUACCAAUUAACUGAAUGCAAAUGUCCUUGCUGCAGCUGAUGGCUGGGCUCUCUGCAGCACAGCAAAGUGCUUGGAAAUUCUAUUUGCCAUUUUGUAAAAUGAGAUAGGAAAUAUUGAUCAAGGCUAUAACAUAUGAACCCAUUCAAUUCAAAGAACCUGAGAGAAAUGAAAGCAACAAAUACUUUCAACUAAAGGAUAAAGUGGUUGAUGGCAUAUCAGUUAUGCAUAACUGUGGACUGCUGUUACUUUCUUAAUUACAUAACUGGAGAAAUCUCUUUAUCUGAGGGCAUCCAAUGGGUUGGGUCAAAAACAUUCAUUGGUCACUUUGAUGCAUGAUGUUUUAUACCCACAAUUCUAUAUUAUGUCAUAAAGGGCUCACCUUCCUCUUUGCACCAACAAACUUAUAGUGAAAAAAGGAAAGGACAUGCUUGCACUUAAGUGAAGGCAAUAAAUUUCCUAAGUAUGUGUGAUA
rnacentral:lncRNA from 1 species